rnacentral:rRNA from 1 species
AUGAUCUGUGCAUCUGAUGCCUCAUUUCCUAACAGAGAAAUACCUGCUCUGUUCACAGAGACAUUUCUUCAUGCCUAUCCACUGGGAAGCGUCUAUUGGCACCAUCAUCACAUAGGAAUCCAGUCUGUUACAAUUUCUGUGUUUAGAACUACACCUUUGAACAGUGCCCCCACAUGUGUGAUCAGUGCAUCUGAUUCCUCAUGGGGACUAUACGUAUAUACGGUACAAGUGGCUGGACAUAAACUGCACAAGUGGUGUGUGGCCUUGCAGCCUCCACAGAUUCUUGUUCAACGCACCUGA